ACCCUAUAAAUACUGCCUUAUGUGGGCAAGCAUUUCACUAGAGAGACUAAAGACAUGGCCAAGCUUGCCUUCAUAAGUGUUCUCGUGCUCAUUGCAACUUUGGUGGUCAUGGCACCAGGUGGUAAGAUACUGGAAGCUGAGGCAGCCACCCCACCAAGGAAACUACGGGAAAUCGACCACCAAGAAAAGGAGAUGCUCAUAAAAUUGCCCGCAAAAGCAAUGAGCUCCAAGAUUGGAGUUCCAUAUGGAGAACCCUGUUCACCGUACAACGAGUGCGACCCUGGUUGUCAUUGUGCUUAUAUACGUUUCAAUUACGGCAUUUGUGAGGGUGACUGCGAGUGAAUUGGUAAGUAUUGUGUCAAGAAACCCUUCAAGUACUGAAUGGUUUGUCGUCUGCAUGUGUUGUAUAAUAUGUAUUGUGCUUCUGCAUUUCUUUUUUUUUUUUUUGGUUUUCUGGUCGAUGACAUGGGAUCUAGCAUUCCCUUUAUGGGAAGCAAAUUAUCAUGAAUGAUAGUCUCAUGCCAAUAAAAAGCAGUCUAUGCUAAACGGACCUUGUGUCCUUGUCAAUCAGUCUUUGUUGUGAAAGUACUGCAAAAAUAUCUAUAUGAUUGUGGUCGUUUUUUGUUGUUUA